AUUGCCCGGGGCGGCAGGGCCGGCCGGCUGCUCCGAGUGCAGGGCCCGCCAGGCCUGCGCCCACCCGGAACUCCAGCUGCCCGGCAGCGCCGCGCGCAGCCCCGGUUCCCGCUCUCACCUCUCCCUCCACACCUCCCUGCAAGCUGAGGGAGCGGGCUCCGGCCUUGGCCAGCCCGGAAAGGGGCUCCCACAGUGCAGCUGUGGGCUCCUCAAGUGCCGCCAAAGUGGGAGCCCAGGCAGAGGAGGCGCCCAGAGCGAUGGAGGGCUGUGAGGACUGCCAGCACGCUGUCACCUCACAAUAUGUUUACGUGUUCUAGGUGUUGAGGUUUCAACAAUUGGCAGUCUUGACAAUGGCCUUCUCGUCCUGAAUCAUAUAUUUCAGUUGGGAAGCAAAAGAUAGAAACAAAGGAAAUUAACAGGCAAGAUAACUUUAGAACAUGGCGGAAGCAAAAAGAAAAAAGAUCUUCAUUAUACGUCUGCUCAUCAGCAGAACAAAUUCCCAUGGCUCUCUGUUCUAAUCAGGAGGAAGUAAUUUUCCCUUCUCACCUGACUGAUUCUCCAACUUGGCUCUUGAAGCUGACUGCUCUCCAAUCCCUCCCUCCAGAAAAAAUAUACAAGAUGGAGGAGUGGGUUAUAAAACACAUCAACCUAGAAUGAGAAAAAGAAUCCAGCUUCAUGAGAUGUAACUGAGAAGAGCCUACAGUUCUUUAUGUGAUCAAUACGGAAGUGAUCAACUGGAAGACAGUUCUUUAAGAUGAGUUUGUGCCCACAAAAAGAGGUGGUCAUAUAGACGAGACAUCACUAGAAGUUUACAGAUCUUGGUAUCCUUUCUGAAAAAAAAAAAAUCCCCAAACUGAUCCUUAGGUACUAAAAUCAAGAUUCUUACAUAUC